AGAAUCAACGCUGGCGGCGUGCCUAACACAUGCAAGUCGAACGAGAAAGUGGAGCAAUCCAUGAGUAAAGUGGCGCACGGGUGAGUAACACGUGACUAACCUACCCUGGAGUGGGGGAUAACUGAGGGAAACCUUAGCUAAUACCGCAUAAUACCUACGGGUCAAAGGAGCAAUUCGCUUUGGGAGGGGUCGCGGCCGAUUAGUUAGUUGGCGGGGUAAUGGCCCACCAAGACUGUGAUCGGUA
rnacentral:rRNA from 1 species